UUAAAAGAAUGCCAACCUUCACCUAGUGAGUGUUAACACAUUAGGUCUGAGUGA
ensembl:snoRNA LOC120093950 small nucleolar RNA SNORD56